rnacentral:rRNA from 1 species
CCUACGGGGGGCAGCAGUGAGGAAUAUUGGUCAAUGGACGAGAGUCUGAACCAGCCAAGUAGCGUGAAGGAUGACUGCCCUAUGGGUUGUAAACUUCUUUUAUAUGGGAAUAAAAUGUUCCACGUGUGGGAUUUUGUAUGUACCAUAUGAAUAAGGAUCGGCUAACUCCGUGCCAGCAGCCGCGGUAAUACGGAGGAUCCGAGCGUUAUCCGGAUUUAUUGGGUUUAAAGGGAGCGUAGGUGGAUUGUUAAGUCAGUUGUGAAAGUUUGCGGCUCAACCGUAAAAUUGCAGUUGAAACUGGCAGUCUUGAGUACAGUAGAGGUGGGCGGAAUUCGUGGUGUAGCGGUGAAAUGCUUAGAUAUCACGAAGAACUCCGAUUGCGAAGACAGUUCACUGGACUGCAACUGACACUGAGGCUCGAAAGUGUGGGUAUCAAACAGGACUAGAUACCCCUGUAGUC